UUACGGCCACAUCACGUUGAAACACCGAUUCCCGUACGAUCACUGAAGUUAAGCCACGUCGAGCCGGGUCAAGUAAGUAGAUGGGUGACCACUUAAGAAUACCAGGUGCUGUAA